rnacentral:rRNA from 1 species
UCGGGAAUAUUGCGCAAUGGAGGAAACUCUGACGCAGUGACGCCGCGUGCAGGAAGAAGGUUUUCGGAUUGUAAACUGCUUUAGACAGGGAAGAAAAAGGACAGUACCUGUAGAAUAAGCUCCGGCUAACUACGUGCCAGCAGCCGCGGUAAUACGUAGGGAGCAAGCGUUAUCCGGAUUUAUUGGGUGUAAAGGGUGCGUAGACGGGAAGGCAAGUUGGUUGUGAAAUCCCUCGGCUUAACUGAGGAACUGCAACCAAAACUAUCUUUCUUGAGUGCUGGAGAGGAAAGUGGAAUUCCUAGU